CUCUUUCAGAGCAAGGGCAUAGGAGCACCCUGGGCCCAAGGCCUCUCUAUUCCUUGAAACACAAUACUGAAAUUAGUCUAAUUAAUAACCUUACAAUGGCUUCAAAAUGUUUAAGUGAAAGGAAGAGUCACAUGUCUCUCAUUUUGAAUCAAAAGCUAUAAAUGGUUGAGUUUAGUGAGGAAGGCAUAUUGAAAUCUAAAACCAGCUGAAAGCUAAGCCUCUUAUGCCAGUUAUCUAAGUUGUGAAGGCAAAGAAAAAUUUCUGGAAGAAAUUAAAAGUGCUACUCCAGUGAUCACACAUCUGAUAAAAAAGUAGAGAUGCCUUAUCGAUGAUAUGGAGAAAGUUUUAGGGAUCUGCAUAGAUCAAACCAACCACAACACUCCCUGAAGCCAAAGCUUAAUUGAGAGCAAAGUUCUAACUCUCUUCAAUUCUCUGAAAGUUGAGAGAGGUGAGGAAGCUGCAGAAGAAAAGUUGGAUGCUAACAGAAGUUGGUUCAUGAGGUUUAAGGAAAAAAGCUGUCUCUAUAACAUAAAAGUGUAAGGUGAAGCAGCAAGUGCUGAUGUAAACCUGCAGCAAGUUAUCCAGAAGAUCUACCUAAGAUAAUUAAUGAAGGUGACUACACUAAACAACAGAUAUACAGUGUAGAUGAAACAGACUUAUUGGAAGAAAAUGUCAUCUAGGACUUUCAUAGCUAGAAAGGAGAAGUCAAUGCCUUGCUUCAAAGGACAGGCUGACUUCCCUGUUAGAGAUUAACACAGCUGGUGCCCUUAAGUGGAAGCCAAUGUUCAUUUACCAUGCUGAAAGUCCUAGGACCCUUAAGAAUUAUGCUAAAUCUACUCUAUAAAUGAAACAACAAUGCCUGGAUGACAACACAUGUAUUUACCAUAUGGUUUACUGAAUAUUUUAAGUCCACUGUUGAGACCUACUGCUCAGAAAAAAAAAAAAAGAUUCCUGUGAAAAUAUUACCUGCUCAUUGACAAUGCACCCAGUAACACAAAAGCUCUGACGGAGAUAUAAAAAGAGAUUAACGGGUUUUUCAUGCUUGCUAACACAGCAUCUAUUCAGCAAACCAGGGAUCAAGGAAGAAUUUUGACUUUCAAAUCUUAUUGUGUAAGAAAUACAUUUUUAAGACUAUAGCUCCCAUAGAUAGGUUCCUGUGAUGGAUUUUUGCAUAGUAAUUUGAAAACUUUCUGGAAAGGAUUAACCAUUCUAGAUGAUACUAAGGACAUUCAUGAUUCAUGGGAGGAGUUCAAAUUAUCAGCGUUAACAGCAGUUUGAAAAAAGUUGAUUCCAACACUCAUGGAUGACACUGCAGAUGUGGUGGAAAUAGCAAGAGAACUAGAGAACUAGAACUAGAAGUGGAGCCUGACGAUGCGAUUGAACUGUGCAAUCUCAUUAUCAAACCUGAACGGAUGAGGAGUUGCUUCCUAUGGAUGAACAAAGAAAGUGGUUUCUCCUGGUGAAGAUGCUGUGAACAUUGUUUACAUGACAACAAGGCAUUUUAAUAUUACAUACACUUAGUUGAUAAAGCAGUAGCAGAAUUUGAAAGGUUUGGCUCUAAUUUUGAAAGAAGUUCUAUUGUGUAUAAAAGGUUAUCAAACAUUAUCAUAAUUUACAGAGAAAUCUCUCAUGAAAGAGUCAAACCAUGUGGUGAACUUCAUUGAUGUCAUAUUUUAAGAAAUUGCCAGCCGCCCCAACUUUCAGCAACCACCACGCUGACUAGUCAGUAGCCAUAAACAUCAAGGCAAGACAAUCCACUAGCAAAAAGAUUGUGACUUGCUGAGGGCUCAAGUGAUUGUUAGCAUUCUCAAAUAAUAAAAUAUUUUCAGUUAAGGGAUGUAUAUUUUUUAGACAUAAUGCUAUUGCACACUUGAUGGGGUUACAGUAUUGUAUAAAUGCAACUUUUAUAUCUACUGGGAAACUAAAAAAUGUAUAUGUUAGUUACUUUAUUGUGAUAUUCAAUUUAUUGUGUUGGUCUGGAACCAAAGCUGCAGUAUCUCUAAGGUCUGUCUGUAUUGUUUCUGAUUGCAGUGGUUGGUGACACUAGAAAUCAAUAAAAGAAGGAUCAAAAUCACAAUAAGGUAUCAUCUCACCCCAUUUAGGAUGGCAAUUAUAAAAAUAAAGAAAUAACACGUGCUGGUAAGGAUGUGGAUAAAAGGGUACUCUUAGGUGCU
rnacentral:lncRNA from 1 species